UAGGGAAUAUUGGACAAUGGGGGCAACCCUGAUCCAGCCAUGCCGCGUGAGUGAAGAAGGCCCUCGGGUUGUAAAGCUCUUUUGUCCGGAAAGAAAAGCAUUCGGUGAAUACCCGGAUGUUCUGACGGUACCGGAAGAAUAAGCACCGGCUAACUUCGUGCCAGCAGCCGCGGUAAUACGAAGGGUGCAAGCGUUACUCGGAAUUACUGGGCGUAAAGCGUGCGUAGGUGGUUGUUUAAGUCUGAUGUGAAAGCCCUGGGCUCAACCUGGGAAUGACAUUGGAAACUGGGCAGCUAGAGUGCGGUAGAGGGUAGUGGAAUUCCCGGUGUAGCAGUGAAAUGCGUAGAGAUCGGGAGGAACGUCUGUGGCGAAGGCGACUGCCUGGACCAGCACUGACACUGAGGCACGAAAGCGUGGGGAGCAAACA
rnacentral:rRNA from 1 species